ensembl:lncRNA
CCGCGGUUGAGAGACGAGUGAAUGACAGGUGACUCAUAGUGCCGUGUUUACAGAGGUAAUGUCAGUGCCUCGACACACACGCCGCCGGCCAGGCCACCUCUGGAACUUUCUCUGCAUCCUCAGAAACCGACGCGACUCGUCCCAUGAGGCACAAACUCAGCUGACGGUGCAACAGAGCCAGAUCGAUGCUGGAUUGGAGCCAGGUGAGAUCCACUGACAGCUACAGUCGGGCAGGAGCAGCACGCGGCCCCAUGCGCGUACACAAUCCUGCCUGCGCAGUCACUGGGUGGAGCAGGCAGACUACUGAAAACACUUUGACGAAUCGUGCCAAGGGUUCAUCAGGGGCAUGAAACAGACUUCUGCUGAAGGUUCUGUAUCCCCAUAUCAGAAUGUCCUGUUCAGUGAACACUGUUGGUUACAAUUACAGUUUUUCUUGCUUGCCAAGACACGUUUCUUGAAAUUGUGCUCCAUUUUCCAAAACUCACAAAUGCAUAACUGAACACUCAUCUUCACAAACUUCCAUGUCCAAACAUCACACAAAACCAAUCAACUACACAUACACUACAGAAUAGCCAGUAAACACUGGUGAGAUCAAUUCAAAACUUUACCGCAAAAUCCUGUUACUGCAAUGAGUAAUGGGGCUCAUGGUUUUCCCUCCAACAACCCUGUAACACGAUGAUCGCAAUAUAAAGACACAACAUGUAUAUAUUUUCAUUUUUUUUUAUUCCUCAAUGUACUGCAGUAAAAUAAACUAAAAUUCUGUAAAAAUAUGCAACCGACAGAACAUAGAAUACAGUAAAAUAAUGUAUUUACAUGUUCCAUGUAUUUACUAAUGUAAACCAAUGAAAAAAAACUGUUUGUACAUAAAAUAAGGUCUUUGUGGAUCCAUGGUUCCAAAACAUGUUAAGUGACCCAUGACCCUUUAAUCGAUCUAUCCUGAUUGGUGUGUAAACCCUUUGUAUUUGGGAAUUGUGUGUAAAUUUGGUUCAAGCUGUGAUGAAUUAGUUAGAUGGGCACAUGUUGCAGCCAGUGAUACAUGAAGGGGAGCUGUGAGUAGAGCUUUGCACAAAAACUUCAACAAAUUUGAAUCGUGUGUGAAAACAGUCUUUAUAGUUUUGGGAAAUGGGUCUGUUUUUUGGUAGAUGGCGUCAUGGUUUAGGAUGUUUAGGUUUAGGAUGCCCAGUUAGUGUGUAAGCGAAACUGUAACAAUGUGCAGUUAUAAGCCUAAAAAUAGGUAUUAGUAAUAUUAAAUAUAUUGGUUUGUUUGUGGUUAAAUAAUCCACUUAAUGAUAUUUCUAAUGAGGUCAUGCAUACAAUACAAUCAAUUACCCCAGGCAAUAACAUGCACUAUGUAAUAUUGUUGCCCCAGGCAAUAACAUGCACUAUGUAAUAUAGUUUGCUGUAGUAUUGCUUACAGGUGUCCUGGAAUGCUGACAGUCAAGAUCAUUACUCUUGUGCUCAAGAACAGGUAUAAUAUAACUGCUUACACAAUUUCUGAAACAUGUUACAGCAAAAUCCCACACCAAAUCUGCAAAUCUGUAAGCUAAUUCUCAGCCUUUGACUCAGUUUUCAAUUUCAUAAAACACUUCUUGCAAAACACUGCACACAUAGUUCACUAAGACAUAAUGAUCAGCCAAUGCACAACAUGUAUACCAGUUCUACAGGAGGACAUUGGUUGUGAUGUUGAUGAGCUGCUGUGAGAAGACCCAAAUACGAAGCUGGGUAAGGUGCCCAGUAAAUCUGUAUUUAUCAUAUCUACUAUCAUGAGUCCUAUCCAUCAGCUUAGAACACGUGCUUUUAUAGAAAUGUAAUUUAUUGUGCGCAUGUAGGCCUCUCCAAAGUCAAUGACCUUAUGAUACAUAAACACUGAAAAAAACAAGUAUGCAAUCUCGCUUUAUUCUAGCUACCUCUUUCACUUGCAAGAAUGAUGUGGCCAUUUUUACUUCAAGUAGCAUACUUACUAUUUCAGCUCAAAGGAAGGUAACGCUAACGUUGUGGAGCGGAGCGUGUUGCAUAGCCCAUGGCAUCACUGCAGCAGCCUUCCCAGCGUUCCUAGCGCUCAUCCUGUGUUAUUGAAGAUGCAAUUGCGGACGUCAGUGAUAACUGAUAACUUUAGAUACGGUGAUAGCUUUAAUUAAGUGAAGCACAUUUAUUGCCCCCACAUUUAUCGUCUUACACAGUUGUAAAGUGCCCAGUCUGCACCAGAGCCUGAGAGAGACACCCAUUGGAGAGAGAGGAAGAGGAGGAGAGGUUAAAUGAGGAUGAGAGAAGGAGAAAGUGCGUGUGGGGGGAGAGACAAACAAAGUAAGGGGUAGAAAUGAAGUGAGGGCCAGCUGUAUCUGGUGAUAUCUAAGAGACUGCCAAAACAAAAGAAGGCCAAGGCAGUGAGGAAUAGGAAUGAGAGUACGAAGAAAACAAGGGCAUGGGGAAAUGACUGCUCUCAGAGAUAAAUUACCAGAAAUGUUGGGGGAAUGAGGGAAUAAAUAUUUAUUAACAAACACAGGUUUGUGGACAAAGAGAUGCCCAUGGACAUCAGAGACAGAGAAAAAGU